rnacentral:lncRNA from 1 species
UCCAUCCAGACUGCCACAAAUCUUACCCAAGUCUAUCUCUCUCUCUCCUUUUCUAAUUCUGUCUCUCUCUCUGUCUCUCUCUCUCUAUUUAUCUUUCUGUCCUCCUGUUCCUACUUCUCUAUCUCCCUAUAUUUCUCGGCUGUCCCCCUCCCUCCCUCCAGCCCUAUCCAGCCCCUAGCUCCUACCCAGCCCCUCCAUCCAGUCCUACCCCUCCCUCCAGUCCUACCCAGCCCCUCCAUCCAGUCCUACCCAGCCCCUCCAUCCAGUCCUAUCCAGCCCCUCCAUCCAGUCCUACCCAGCCCCUCCAUCCAGUCCUACCCAGCCCCUCCCUCCAGUCCUACCCAGCCCCUCCAUCCAGUCCUACCCAGCCCCUCCCUCCAGUCCUACCCAGCCCCUCCCUCCAGUCCUACCCAGCCCCUCCAUCCAGUCCUACCCAGCCCCUCCAUCCAGUCCUAUCCAGCCCCUCCAUCCAGUCCUACCCAGCCCCUCCAUCCAGUCCUACCCAGCCCCUCCCUCCAGUCCUAUUCAUCCCUCCAUCCAGUCCUACCCAGCCCCACCCUCCUACCCAGCCCCUCCCUCCAGUCCUACCCAGCCCUUCCAUCCAGUCCUAUCCAGCCCCUCCCUCCAGUCCUACCCAGCCCCUCCCUCCAGUCCUACCCAGCCCCUCCAUCCAGUCCUACCCAGCCCCUCCAUCCAGUCCUAUCCAGCCCCUCCAUCCAGUCCUACCCAGCCCCUCCAUCCAGUCCUACCCAGCCCCUCCCUCCAGUCCUACCCAGCCCCUCCCUCCAGUCCUAUCCAUCCCUCCAUCCAGUCCUACCCAGCCCCACCCUCCUACCCAGCACCUCCCUCCAGUCCUAUCCAGCCCAUCCCUCGUCCUAUCCACUCCCUCCAUCCAGUCCUACCCAGCCCCACCCUCCUACCCAGCCCCUCCAUCCAGUCCUAUCCACUCCCUCCAUCCAGUCCUACCCAGCCCCUCCAUCCAGUCCUACCCAGCCCACCCAUCCAGUCCUACCCAGCCCCUCCCUCCACUGA